rnacentral:rRNA from 1 species
AUGGCCGCCGCGCUCCACCGCCGUCUCCUCCUACUCGCCGUCCUCACCGUCUCCGCUCUCCUCCCCCGCGCCGCGGCCGUACGCCCCUUCGUGCUGGUCCUCUCCGGCGAAGACUUCCUCAAGGACCCCUCUGGCGCGCACCCCUCGCUGCCAUCCGCCGACGGGGACAGCGAGGACUGGGAUGACUUCGCGGACGACUCCCCCGCCACCGACCCCCUCCUCUCCCCGUCCUCCUGGAUCCCCCUCCUUGACCCCACCACCCCCUCCCCGUCGGGCGAUCAGCAGGACCCACCGUCCGAUGCGCUCUUCGUCGCGGGCGUCCGCGCCAUGAUCUCAGCGGCAUCCUCGGGGGACGAAGCCGCUUUCUCCACUGCGUCCGCGCAGAUCGACGCUGCAGCCACUGGGGGACACCCCGGCGCACAGUCAGCGCUGGCGUUUCUCUCCGGAGCUGGAAUGGCGCGCCCGGUCUCCCGCUCGCGCGCGUUCCUGCUGGACAAAUUCGCCGCCGACGCAGGUGACCUCCAGUCUAAGAUGGCGCUCGCCUACGCCUAUUUUCGCCAGGAGAUGUAUGAAGAGGCUGUCACACUAUAUGCCGAACUUGCAGAAGCUGCUCUUACAAGCUCCUUAAUCUCGAUGGAGCCACCAGUGAUUGAACCAGUUCGGCUGCACAGUGGAACUGAAGAAAACAAGGAGGCCUUGAGGAAGUCCCGUGGUGAGGAUGAUGAAGAUUUUCAAAUCACGGAGUACCAGGCACAACGAGGCAAUGCUGCCGCAAUGUAUAAAUUAGGGCUUCUGUACUACUAUGGACUACGAGGACUCAGACGUGAUUAUGGCAAAUCAUAUUAUUGGUUCUCUAAGGCUGUGGAGAAAGACGAGCCACGUGCUAUGGAGCUUAUGGGGGAGAUCUUUGCUAGAGGUGCUGGAGUGGAAAGAAACUACACCCUAGCAUACAGGUGGUUGAGACUUGCAGCACAGCAGGAACAGUACUCAGCUUACAAUGGACUGGGUUAUCUCUACGUGAAAGGCUAUGGGGUGGAGAAGAACUUGACAAAAGCAAAGGAAUAUUUUGAAAUUGCAGCUGACCAUAAAGAGCAUGGGGGUUAUUAUAACCUUGGUGUUCUAUAUCUAAAGGGUAUUGGUGUAAAGAGGGAUGUGAUGACAGCAUGCAAUUAUUUUCUUCGUGCAGUAAAUGCUGGGCAACCAAAAGCUAUUUAUCAAGUGGCAAAGUUGUUCCAAAAAGGAAUUGGUCUUAAGAGGAACCUCCAUAUGGCAACAGUUUUGUACAAGUCUGUUGCUGAGAGGGGCCCCUGGAGCUCGAUGUCUAGGUGGGCUCUAGAAUCUUAUUUAAAAGGCGACAUAGGGAAGGCAUUGCUCUUAUAUUCUAGAAUGGCAGAUCUUGGGUACGAGGUUGCCCAAAGCAAUGCCGCCUGGAUUCUUGAUAGAUAUGGCGAUGAACAUAUUUGCAUGGGAGAAUCUGGCUUCUGUUCAGAUAUGGAAAGACAUCUCCGUGCACAUGCUUUGUGGUGGCAAGCAUCUGAGCAGGGUAAUGAGCAUGCUGCUCUGUUGAUUGGCGAUGCCUACUACUAUGGCCGGGGUGUAGGGAGGGACUAUGAGCGUGCAGCAGAGGCAUAUAUGCAUGCUCAAUCACAGUCUAAUGCCCACGCCAUGUUUAACCUUGGGUACAUGCAUGAGCACGGUCAUGGACUUCCCCUUGAUCUGCACUUGGCAAAAAGAUAUUAUGAUCAGGCUGUGGAGGUGGAUUCAGCAGCUAAGCUUCCUGUCAUGCUCGCACUAACUAGUCUAUGGAUAAGGAAAAACUAUGCUGGCAGUUUUAUGGUUAAUUUUAUCGACUCGCUGCCGGAGAUGUAUCCUGUAGUUGAGGAAUGGGUGGAAGAUGUCCUGAUGGAUGAAGGGAACGCAACAAUAUUGACUCUAUUUGCUUGCCUUGUAACUGUCCUGUACUUGAGAGAGCGUCAGAGGCGUCAAGUGGUUGCAGACAACCCCCAACAGCCUGACGGUGCACCCAACUAA